rnacentral:rRNA from 1 species
UUCCAGACUCCUACGGGAGGCAGCAGUGAGGAAUAUUGGUCAAUGGGCGGGAGCCUGAACCAGCCAAGUCGCGUGAGGGAUGACGGCCCUAUGGGUUGUAAACCUCUUUUGCCGGGGAGCAAAGUGCCGCACGUGUGCGGUUUGGAGAGUACCCGGAGAAAAAGCAUCGGCUAACUCCGUGCCAGCAGCCGCGGUAAUACGGAGGGUGCGAGCGUUAAUCGGAAUUACUGGGCGUAAAGCGCUCGUAGGCGGUAUGUCAAGUCAAGGGUGAAAUCCCCGCGCUCAACGUGGGAACUGCCUUUGAAACUGGCAAACUGGAGUGUGUGAGAGGAUAGUGGAAUUCCAGGUGUAGGAGUGAAAUCCGUAGAUAUCUGGAGGAACAUCAGUGGCGAAGGCGACUAUCUGGCACAUAACUGACGCUGAGGAGCGAAAGCGUGGGUAGCAAACAGGAUUAGAUACCCUCGUACG